GUGCCAGCAGCCGCGGUAAUACGUAGGGAGCGAACGUUGUCCGGAUUUAUUGGGCGUAAAGGGCUCGUAGGCGGUUCAGCAAGUCGGUCGUGAAAGCCCGGGGCUCAACCCCGGGACGCCGGUCGAAACUGCUGUGACUUGAGUUCGGUAGAGGUGAGUGGAAUUCUCGGUGUAGCGGUGGAAUGCGCAGAUAUCGAGAGGAACACCCGUAGCGAAGGCGGCUCACUGGGCCGAUACUGACGCUGAGGUGCGAAAGCGUGGGGAGCAAACAGGAUUAGAUACCCCCGUAGUCC
rnacentral:rRNA from 1 species